CAGCAGCCGCGGGAAUACGUAGGGUGCGAGCGUUAAUCGGAAUUACUGGGCGUAAAGCGUGCGCAGGCGGUUGUGUAAGACAGGUGUGAAAUCCCCGGGCUUAACCUGGGAACUGCGCUUGUGACUGCACAGCUAGAGUAUGGCAGAGGGGGGUGGAAUUCCACGUGUAGCAGUGAAAUGCGUAGAGAUGUGGAGGAACACCGAUGGCGAAGGCAGCCCCCUGGGCCAAUACUGACGCCCAUGCACGAAAGCGUGGGGAGCAAACAGGAUUAGAUACCCCAGUAGUCCCUGUCUCUUAUAC
rnacentral:rRNA from 1 species